rnacentral:rRNA from 1 species
ACAAGCGGUGGAGUAUGUGGUUAAUUCGAUGCAACGCGAAGAACCUUACCUGGUCUUGACAUCCCGGAGACCCUUAGGAAACUAGGGGGUGCUUCCAUCUGGAAGAAUCUGGAGACAGGUGCUGCAUGGCUGUCGUCAGCUCGUGUCGUGAGAUGUUGGGUUAAGUCCCGCAACGAGCGCAACCCUUGCCUUUAGUUGCCAGCAGUUCGGCUGGGCACUCUAAAGGGACUGCCGGUGUUAAACCGGAGGAAGUGGGGAUGACGUCAAGUCCUCAUGGCCUUUAUGACCAGGGCUACACACGUACUACAAUGGCCGAUACAAAGGGCAGCGACACUGCGAGGUGAAGCCAAUCCCGUAAAAUCGGUCUCAGUCCGGAUUGGAGUCUGCAACUCGACUCCAUGAAGUUGGAAUCGCUAGUAAUCGUGGAUCAGCAUGCCACGGUGAAUACGUUCCCGGGCCUU